AUUGAACGCUGGCGGCAGGCCUAACACAUGCAAGUCGAACGCGUGUCGCGGGGGUGUGAAAUGUCUGGGAGACAGCCCGUGGGAGGGGGAUAACUACUGGAGACGGUAGCUAAUACCGCAUACCCUCUGAUGUGCCCACAGAGGAUUAGCUUGUAGGUGAGGGAAAGGCUCACCUAGGCGACGAUCCCUAGCUGGUCUGAGAGGAUGACCAGCCACACUGGAACUGAGACACGGUCCAGACUCCUACGGGAGGCAGCAGUGGGGAAUAUUGCACAAUGGGCGCAAGCCUGAUGCAGCCAUGCCGCGUGUAUGAAGAAGGCCUUCGGGUUGUAAAGUACUUUCAGCGGGGAGGCGUUACCCGCAGAAGAAGCACCGGCUAACUCCGUGCCAGCAGCCGCGGUAAUUC
rnacentral:rRNA from 1 species